AGGCCUGUAGCUCAAUGGUUAGAGCGGCUGCCUUAUACGCAGUGUGUUACCGGUUCAAAUCCGGUCAGGCCAA
rnacentral:tRNA from 1 species